GUGCAGCAGGCGCGAAACCUCCGCAAUGCGGGAAACCGCGACGGGGGACCCGAGUGCCGUGGCAACGCCACGGCUUUUCCGGAGUGUAAAAAGCUCCGGGAAUAAGGGCUGGGCAAGGCCGGUGGCAGCCGCCGCGGUAAUACCGGCGGCCCGAGUGGUGGCCGCUAUUAUUGGGCCCAAAGCGUCCGUAGCCGGGCCCGUAAGUCCCUGGCGAAAUCCCACGGCUCAACCGUGGGGCUUGCUGGGGAUACUGCGGGUCUUGGGACCGGGAGAGGCGGGGGGUACCCCUGGGGUAGGGGUGAAAUCCUAUAAUCCCAGGGGGACCGCCAGUGGCGAAGGCGCCCCACUGGAACGGGUCCGACGGUGAGGGACGAAGGCCAGGGGAGCAAAACC
rnacentral:rRNA from 1 species